GGCGGCAUGGCGCAACUGGAAGACGCAUCAGGCUUAAAAUCUGUACAACCUAUGGGUUCGACUCCCAUUGCCGCCA
rnacentral:tRNA from 1 species